rnacentral:tRNA from 1 species
GCUGGGAUGCCCGAGCGGCCAAAGGGAGCAGACUGUAAAUCUGUCGGCAGACGCCUACGGAGGUUCAAAUCCUCCUCCCAGCA